GGUUAAGCGACUAAGCGUACACGGUGGAUGCCCUGGCAGUCAGAGGCGAUGAAGGACGUGCUAAUCUGCGAUAAGCGUCGGUAAGGUGAUAUGAACCGUUAUAACCGGCGAUUUCCGAAUGGGGAAACCCAGUGUGAUUCGUCACACUAUCAUUAACUGAAUCCAUAGGUUAAUGAGGCGAACCGGGGGAACUGAAACAUCUAAGUACCCCGAGGAAAAGAAAUCAACCGAGAUUCCCCCAGUAGCGGCGAGCGAACGGGGAGGAGCCCAGAGCCUGAAUCAGUGUGUGUGUUAGUGGAAGCGUCUGGAAAGGCGCGCGAUACAGGGUGACAGCCCCGUACACAAAAAUGCACAUACUGUGAGCUCGAUGAGUAGGGCGGGACACGUGGUAUCCUGUCUGAAUAUGGGGGGACCAUCCUCCAAGGCUAAAUACUCCUGACUGACCGAUAGUGAACCAGUACCGUGAGGGAAAGGCGAAAAGAACCCCGGCGAGGGGAGUGAAAAAGAACCUGAAACCGUGUACGUACAAGCAGUGGGAGCCUCUUUAUGGGGUGACUGCGUACCUUUUGUAUAAUGGGUCAGCGACUUAUAUUCUGUAGCAAGGUUAACCGAAUAGGGGAGCCGAAGGGAAACCGAGUCUUAACUGGGCGUUAAGUUGCAGGGUAUAGACCCGAAACCCGGUGAUCUAGCCAUGGGCAGGUUGAAGGUUGGGUAACACUAACUGGAGGACCGAACCGACUAAUGUUGAAAAAUUAGCGGAUGACUUGUGGCUGGGGGUGAAAGGCCAAUCAAACCGGGAGAUAGCUGGUUCUCCCCGAAAGCUAUUUAGGUAGCGCCUCGUGAAUUCAUCUCCGGGGGUAGAGCACUGUUUCGGCAAGGGGGUCAUCCCGACUUACCAACCCGAUGCAAACUGCGAAUACCGGAGAAUGUUAUCACGGGAGACACACGGCGGGUGCUAACGUCCGUCGUGAAGAGGGAAACAACCCAGACCGCCAGCUAAGGUCCCAAAGUCAUGGUUAAGUGGGAAACGAUGUGGGAAGGCCCAGACAGCCAGGAUGUUGGCUUAGAAGCAGCCAUCAUUUAAAGAAAGCGUAAUAGCUCACUGGUCGAGUCGGCCUGCGCGGAAGAUGUAACGGGGCUAAACCAUGCACCGAAGCUGCGGCAGCGACACUAUGUGUUGUUGGGUAGGGGAGCGUUCUGUAAGCCUGUGAAGGUGUACUGUGAGGUAUGCUGGAGGUAUCAGAAGUGCGAAUGCUGACAUAAGUAACGAUAAAGCGGGUGAAAAGCCCGCUCGCCGGAAGACCAAGGGUUCCUGUCCAACGUUAAUCGGGGCAGGGUGAGUCGACCCCUAAGGCGAGGCCGAAAGGCGUAGUCGAUGGGAAACAGGUUAAUAUUCCUGUACUUGGUGUUACUGCGAAGGGGGGACGGAGAAGGCUAUGUUGGCCGGGCGACGGUUGUCCCGGUUUAAGCGUGUAGGCUGAUUUUCCAGGCAAAUCCGGAAAAUCAAGGCUGAGGCGUGAUGACGAGGCACUACGGUGCUGAAGCAACAAAUGCCCUGCUUCCAGGAAAAGCCUCUAAGCAUCAGGUAACAUCAAAUCGUACCCCAAACCGACACAGGUGGUCAGGUAGAGAAUACCAAGGCGCUUGAGAGAACUCGGGUGAAGGAACUAGGCAAAAUGGUGCCGUAACUUCGGGAGAAGGCACGCUGAUAUGUAGGUGAAGCGACUUGCUCGUGGAGCUGAAAUCAGUCGAAGAUACCAGCUGGCUGCAACUGUUUAUUAAAAACACAGCACUGUGCAAACACGAAAGUGGACGUAUACGGUGUGACGCCUGCCCGGUGCCGGAAGGUUAAUUGAUGGGGUUAGCGGUAACGCGAAGCUCUUGAUCGAAGCCCCGGUAAACGGCGGCCGUAACUAUAACGGUCCUAAGGUAGCGAAAUUCCUUGUCGGGUAAGUUCCGACCUGCACGAAUGGCGUAAUGAUGGCCAGGCUGUCUCCACCCGAGACUCAGUGAAAUUGAACUCGCUGUGAAGAUGCAGUGUACCCGCGGCAAGACGGAAAGACCCCGUGAACCUUUACUAUAGCUUGACACUGAACAUUGAGCCUUGAUGUGUAGGAUAGGUGGGAGGCUUUGAAGUGUGGACGCCAGUCUGCAUGGAGCCGACCUUGAAAUACCACCCUUUAAUGUUUGAUGUUCUAACGUUGACCCGUGAUCCGGGUUGCGGACAGUGUCUGGUGGGUAGUUUGACUGGGGCGGUCUCCUCCUAAAGAGUAACGGAGGAGCACGAAGGUUGGCUAAUCCUGGUCGGACAUCAGGAGGUUAGUGCAAUGGCAUAAGCCAGCUUGACUGCGAGCGUGACGGCGCGAGCAGGUGCGAAAGCAGGUCAUAGUGAUCCGGUGGUUCUGAAUGGAAGGGCCAUCGCUCAACGGAUAAAAGGUACUCCGGGGAUAACAGGCUGAUACCGCCCAAGAGUUCAUAUCGACGGCGGUGUUUGGCACCUCGAUGUCGGCUCAUCACAUCCUGGGGCUGAAGUAGGUCCCAAGGGUAUGGCUGUUCGCCAUUUAAAGUGGUACGCGAGCUGGGUUUAGAACGUCGUGAGACAGUUCGGUCCCUAUCUGCCGUGGGCGCUGGAGAACUGAGGGGGGCUGCUCCUAGUACGAGAGGACCGGAGUGGACGCAUCACUGGUGUUCGGGUUGUCAUGCCAAUGGCACUGCCCGGUAGCUAAAUGCGGAAGAGAUAAGUGCUGAAAGCAUCUAAGCACGAAACUUGCCCCGAGAUGAGUUCUCCCUGACUCCUUGAGAGUCCUGAAGGAACGUUGAAGACGACGACGUUGAUAGGCCGGGUGUGUAAGCGCAGCGAUGCGUUGAGCUAACCGGUACUAAUGAACCGUGAGGCUUAACCUU
rnacentral:rRNA from 1 species